rnacentral:rRNA from 1 species
CCCCAUGCAAGUCGAGGGGCAGCAAUUUGUAGCAAUACAAAGUUGGCGACCGGCGCACGGGUGAGUAACGCGUAUGCAACCUACCUACAACAGAAGAAUAAUCCGGCGAAAGUCGGUCUAAUACUUCAUAAAACAGGGAUACCGCAUGGUGUUAUUUGUUAAAGAUUUAUCGGUUGUAGAUGGGCAUGCGUACCAUUAGGUAGUUGGUGAGGUAACGGCCCACCAAGCCUACGAUGGUUAGGGGUUCUGAGAGGAAAGUCCCCCACACUGGUACUGAGACACGGACCAGACUCCUACGGGAGGCAGCAGUGAGGAAUAUUGGUCAAUGGGCGAGAGCCUGAACCAGCCAAGUCGCGUGAAGGAUGACGGCCCUAUGGGUUGUAAACUUCUUUUGCAGGGGAAUAAAGAUAUUCACGUGUGGGUAGUUGUAUGUACCCUGCGAAUAAGCAUCGGCUAACUCCGUGCCAGCAGCCGCGGUAAUACGGAGGAUGCGAGCGUUAUCCGGAUUUAUUGGGUUUAAAGGGUGCGUAGGUGGGCUAUUAAGUCAGUGGUGAAAGUUUGUCGCUCAACGAUAAAAUUGCCGUUGAAACUGGUGGUCUUGAGUAUGGAUGAAGUAGGCGGAAUGCGUGGUGUAGCGGUGAAAUGCAUAGAGAUCACGCAGAACUCCGAUUGCGAAGGCAGCUUACUAAGGCAUAACUGACACUGAAGCACGAAAGCGUGGGUAUCAAACAGGAUUAGAUACCCUGGUAGUCCACGCAGUAAACGAUGAUUACUAGGAGUUUGCGAUAUAGUGUAAGCUCUACAGCGAAAGCGUUAAGUAAUCCACCUGGGGAGUACGCCGGCAACGGUGAAACUCAAAGGAAUUGACGGGGGCCCGCACAAGCGGAGGAACAUGUGGUUUAAUUCGAUGAUACGCGAGGAACCUUACCCGGG